rnacentral:rRNA from 1 species
UACGUAGGGGGCAAGCGUUGUCCGGAAUUAUUGGGCGUAAAGCGCGCGCAGGCGGUUGUCUAAGUCUGCUGUGAAAUCUCCCGGCUCAACUGGGAGGGGGCGGCGGAGACUGGGCGACUGGAGGGACCUAGAGGCCGGUGGAAUUCCCGGUGUAGUGGUGAAAUGCGUAGAGAUCGGGAGGAACACCUGUGGCGAAGGCGGCCGGCUGGGGGUACCCUGACGCUGAGGCGCGACAGCGUGGGGAGCGAACCGG